GCAAGCUUUUUCAUUGCCCAUUCUCGUUAGAGAUCAUUCAUCCUCAUCCAAACAUAAAGGUCAACCGAUUCUUCGCUGAUACUUAAUACCAGUCACUGUCUAGUAGCAUAACAUAUCUGUAGCAGUACCUUUUAGUGCAUGUUGUCAUGCACAAUUCCUCUCCUGAAAUAGCUGAUGCAACAUCGACAUGUUUCUUGCAUUAACCUACGCACUGUUUGCUAUGCACCAUUUUACUUUUCUUGAUGUUUUUGGCCUUCAAUGCUUGCAGAGCAGGGUGGCUUCUCUCUUGAAUGCAAGCUUUCUCAUUUUCCAUAUUCCUAGUCUCGUUGAUGGUUGCUCUUCUUCCUCGAUAGCCUGGGUCUUUGCGCAAGCUACACUGAAUGAUAGAUUGCAGAAUCUGGUUUUGCUGCCCCACUUGGUUGUGGUCGCCGUGUUACAUUUCUCGGAUGUGGGGGCCUGCUCAGUUACAUUGGUAAGCAGUCUCUCGAGGUAAGCAUUUGCUCCUGCAGUCCGCACAGCGACAUAGACUCCCAAUUUACACACCAUGAUUCGUGCUCCCCGUUCAGCCUUUCCUGCUGCAGCCAUGUGCAAAUUGUGCCUGCGGCCUUUCUCACUCGCAAUUAAGCGCGAACGGAGACAAGCAUACGUGCUUACAUGGUCCAACGUGUUUGAAGUUCAUAGCCGCAUGGGUGGAAAGGCCCGCAUAAAUGGCUGCCGAAGGUGAUGCCCACGAAAGCGACUUGUCCAUAUUGAGACAAAGUGGGACACCAAAUGUGAGCCACACAUUAGUGGCCCUCGACAGAAAAGAAACAUGCAGGUUGGAAAGGAGUUAACGCUAAAAUGCCGGAUAGUCCAUUUCGCUGUGUUGGUUGUGGCAGCAGAUGCCUGCAUCACUUGAUUGCUUCGCAAUGGAAGUUGCUCAUCUUCAACGGCAACUGUCGGUUCAAACAGGUGCGACGCUCUGUCCAAUCUGUUUGUACUGCUGUUCGUCGUUCGUUACCAGACCACCACAUGCGACGAAGGCAAGCAUUAUGCCUGUAAGUAGGCAGCUGAAUGUAUCCUAAGAGACCCGUGUAUGUGAAUGCUCACUGUUGCCGUAUGGUUUGUAGCCAAUGUAUAACGUAUUCUCUGAACACUAUGUGGUGAAUGAUUGCCGUUUAUUUUUGCUGUUAUCUCACUUGGUUACGGUCGCCAUGUUAUGCUUAUCGGAUGUAGCGGCCUGGUCAGUUGCACUGGAAAGCAGUUUCUCGAAGUAAGCAUUUGCUCCUGCAAUCUGCACAGCGACAUAGACUCCCAAUUUACACACCGUGAUUCGUGCUCCCCGUUCAGCCUUUCCUGCUGCAGCCAUGUGCAAAUUGUGCCUGCGGCCUUUCUCAGUCGCAAUUAAGCACGAAUGGAGACAAGCAUACGUGCUUACAUGGUCCAACGUGUUUGAAGUUCAUAGCCGCAUGGGUAGAAAGGCCCGCAUAAAUGGCUGCCGAAGGUGAUGCCCACGAAAGCGACUUGUCCAUAUUGAGACAAAGUGGGACACCAAAUGUGAGCCACACAUUAGUGGCCCUCGACAGAAAAGAAAGAUGCAGGUUGGAAAGGAGUUAACGCUAAAAUGCCGGAUAGUCCAUUUCGCUGUGUUGGUUGUGGCAGCAGAUGCCUGCAUCACCUGAUUGCUUCGCAAUGGAAGUUGCUCAUCUUCAACGGCAACUGUCGGUUCAAACAGGUGCGACGCUCUGUCCAAUCUGUUUGUACUGCUGUUCGUCGUUCGUUACCAGACCACCACAUGCGACGAAGGCAAGCAUUAUGCCUGUAAGUAGGCAGCUGAAUGUAUCCUAAGAGACCCGUGUAUGUGAAUGCUCACUGUUGCCGUAUGGUUUGUAGCCAAUGUAUAACGUAUUCUCUGAACACUAUGUGGUGAAUGAUUGCCGUUUAUUUUUGCUGUUAUCUCAUUUGGUUACGGUCGCCAUGUUAUGCUUAUCGGAUGUAGCGGCCUGGUCAGUUGCACUGGAAAGCAGUUUCUCGAAGUAAGCAUUUGCUCCUGCAAUCUGCACAGCGACAUAGACUCCCAAUUUACACACCGUGAUUCGUGCUCCCCGUUCACGUUCAGCCUUUCCUGCUGCAGCCAUGGUCAAAUUGUGCCUGUUGCCUUUCUCGGCCGCGAUUAAGCACGAACGGAGACCGGCAUACGUGCUUACAUGGUCCGACGUGUGUGAAGUUGGGUGCAAAGGCCCGCAAAAGUGGCUGAUGAAGGUGAUGCCCACGAAAGCGACUUGUCCAUAUUGAGACAAUGUGGGACACCAAGUGCGAGCCACACAUUAGCGGCCCCCGAAAGAAAAGUAACGUGCAGGUUGGAAAGGAGUUAAGGCUAAAAUGCCGGUUAGUCCAUGUCGCUGUGUUGGCUGUGGCAGCAGAUGCCUGGUUCACCCGAUUGUUUCGCAGUGUUAGUUGCUCAUCUUUAACGGCGACUGCCGCUGCAAACAGGCGGGACACUGACCAAUCUGCAUGAGCCGCUGGUUUUCGCUCGUUACUAGACCGCCAUGUGUGGCGACGACGGUGAGCCGUUUACGAGCUCGCGUCAAAGAUUCCAGUGUAUCUCGACAUACAAAUUUUAUUUCUGCUAUUGCACGAGAAUGUACAUACAUACACUGCUUGUCUUCUGCCAAUAAAGUCGCACGUUCUGUUCACUCACUUGUGGCUUGUUUGUAUGGGCGUCAGUAGAGGCUCUUUGCUCUCCUGGCAAUUAGAACGCACCGGCUACGCGGCAGCCGAGGCGAGUACGGCGCGUACGAGCGGAUACAAGCGUACACGACCGGCAAAAAGCGGCCAUAUUGAAUGAUGCUCUAAAAAAAAAAAAUGCGCAGUUCCGCUUCCUGUUUUAGCAGCGUCAUCUGGCGUCCACCUAGGUAAGUUCCAUGCGCUGCCGCUGCUUAUUUUCGAACCACUGCGGAAGGUACAGUUUCCCUUCUCUAAAGUUGUUCUUUAUUCUAUGGGCCAGCCAAGGCAGAUCGUAUAUCAGCCAUCUCGCGUCGCCACGAAAACACGACAGUCGUUCGUCAUGCCUUGGAUAUAACAGCAAAUCCUCCACGGCACCCGCUUUAUAUAACGCAAGAAGGCAGCUGCAAGGACACGAGGAUGUGAAAGAGCCAGUGCAGCGCGACUUCACGUAGUGCAGAGGAGCCAAUGCCAAAAAAUCAAAAUACAUUGGCAUGUUAUUUGGACAAGAACACUAGUAUGUGGGUAUAUUGGGUGUACCAUUUGACCAAAUGUCAACAAAAUCAAGAUACAGUAUGUUACACAAAGAUGAAAAUUCUCACGUGCUCCAGGCAGUCAUCUUAACAUGGUAUAUUUAUGUAAUGUCUCUGAUUGGAAAGUCAAAUCAAGUAUGCUCUCUGGAGACAAACACAUAGCAGCAAGUGUCAUUGAAAAGUUAAAAAUGCGUUUUAAGAAAGCUGAUUAGUUCUGAGAAGUGACUGCUUUUUGUCUUGCCUCUCAACACAUAUAUCCAUGUGAUAAAAAAAUAGUGGUACAAUGAAAUUGCAUAUUUGCUUAGCGACAUGAUACAUACUUGCAAUGAGCACGGUGCCUGUGUUUACUACAAAAAGCAACAGCCCAUGCUUGGUUAGGUUAGGCCCACUACAACAUGCAGGCAUGGGUGAUUGGCGCUUUUUUUAUUUCUGUGUCGUGAGGUUUAUUGACGUGCGUAUAGGUGCAGUGGCACGCAGUAUGGCUAGUACAAAAGAAAGGGGGGGGGGGCAGAUAUAUGUAGCUCACUGUACACGACACAGGGCAAAGGAAGUCCGUGCUCAGCAACUAAGUUAAAUGCCAUGUACAUAAAUUUUACAACGCUACUCGUUCGAAGCGCGCACAGGUGCAUAUUGAAGAAAAGUUUCCAGGGUAGAUAAUUUAGUUCGUAAUUUACACUAAUUUUGCUCUAACCACGAGACAUAAUAAUUUGAAUAUACUGCACGGAAAAACCUAGAGCGAAUUAAAUUGUGUGUCAGCUUCGUGUGUAUACAUAUAGUCUUUCCUAUGCAUUAGGUUUUUGCGUAAUGCAUUAACAGUUGACAGCCUAUCUUAUGAUGUGUACUCUGUUUACAUUACAGUUGUUUAUUAGUUUAGUCGUUUGUUUUGCGCCUGAUGAAAUGCCGGCAUAUAUAUAUUUUCAACAUUUGACAUAACCCUGUAUGUUUUGCAGGGACAACCCAGGACGUGCAUUUCUCAGCACCCAGUCAACUGCCAAAAGUGACUCAAACACAGGCCACCAGUGGAACUCGGCUGUACCACUGCAGUGCUGCGGAAAUUGCCUUCACCAGCGGCUUUGCAACAGCUGUUUCGCAGCAUGUCGGAGACAAUGCCUACGAAAUUAUUGGCCCUGAUCAUGAGAGCCCUCAAGGGGCAAACAACAUCUCUGUUGCAGAAGUGAGCCCGAUACCACUUGGAAGUUACCAUGACAGAUGACACGGCAGCAAUAGAUACAGAGACUGCCAUGUCUACUGCAGCUGCAACAGUGUACGAGGCAAGCAGCAGCGCGUCAGCAUCAGCAGCAGUGUCAGAAGGAACCACACCAGGCCUGGUAGAGCAACAUGUGUGCUAUCACUGACUUUUUUUGUAGUGGAUACAACUCAUUUGCUCAACAUACAAAAGCUUUUCACCACGACUGUGAGCCAGUGUUAUUGUGCAGCAAGUGCAAGACUAAGUUAGGUGUUAUAACACAGUACAAGCAUCACUUUAAUAUAUGCAAAUGCAAACAUAUUACAGUUGUUGCCUCCCCAGCCAGCCCACAUAGUGACAACAAUGUGGAACACAUGGUGGGACACACCUCUCCCCCAUUACAAGAUAGUAGAGACUGUCAGUGUUGUUGCUAGAUUGACUGGUCUUUGUAGGCAACUAGAAGGACAACACAGGUGUCAUAAGAUUGUUGUGGAUGUUGUUGUUGAAGAGGUAAAAAAGAAGUUUGAUGCAGCUGAAGUGCCAACUGAUAUUGAGCAAAUCAAAAGCAACCACCUGAGAAAGCAACACUAUCGAAAUUUGGGUAUCUAUGUGCCGCCAACUCUGGUAAGAAUGGCAUAGGACAGAAGUGUGAUGAAAAUCACACAGACACUGCUGUUGCAUCACUGGCCACAGUGAGCAGCGACUUGUAGGGCAAGAGAGUCAACUGAAACUAACAUUAUGAUACAGUGUCAUGCUCCCAUGUGACCACUUUUCAAGUUAUUUUGCAAGAUACAGCUCAACCUCCAGAAACGAGAUUGCAACUUGUCUGUAAAAAAGCUUUCACAAAAAAUUAUUCAUAACACUAUUAACAUAGCAGUAUCUUUUUUUUUUGUGUCGGUUCAAGGUUCCCGGCUGUUCAUUAAUGCAAAAAUUGAGGAAAAAAAGAACAUGUGUCGUACUUACACCUUUUUAACAAGUACGAGGGGGACAGAACUUUUCUAGUCAUGCAUCUUCAUCAUACUAUCAAGUUUUUAAAUGCCUUUUAUAAUUAUUAUCACCAGUUAUAUCUGAGUGCAUUGUAUGCAUGUAGCAGGUGUAAAAUCAGGUCAGUUGGAUCAGAUGCCUUAUCUGCAAGCGAGCCCUAUAUUCAAGAAAUUUGAAUUAAAAUAGUUACGUUAGAGACGCAGUCUUUCAGCACUUUAUUGCCUGUGGUUUAAGCAUUGCUCAAUACUUUUGUGGGUGGCAAUUUCAACCGGCACAGCACUGCGCUUUGCCACAGUCACAUUUGUCUUCAAAGCGGUGUUUACCAUUUGUGUUGAUCUGUUUGUGUAUGCAUAGAGCAAGUUUUUAAUUUAUAUUUUUCUGCAUUCUUGUGCUUGCACUAAGCUUGUAUAAGGCAGUUACAAAAUGUGCGUCACUAUAACGAACUGUUCUGUUGAGCUUACACUUGCAAAUAAUCGUGUUCAGAUGGCCGCACUUCUAUGCGGGUGCACUGCUAGCUUUGUGUAUGUUCUCAUGUUUGUAUAAAGCUUAUAUAAGCUAGUUAGAAAAUGUAUGUCACUAAGCAUUGUGAUAUUCUUUAAAGAACUGCUUGGUUGGUUUUACACUUGUGAAUUAGUAUUGAGGUGGUGGUAUUCCCAUGUAUGCCCACUGCUAGCUUUCUGUGUCCUCACGUGUUUGUAUUAAGUUUCUACAAGGGAGUUACAGCAUGUACGUCACUAAGCACUGUGAUAUUUUUUAAAGAACUGCUUUGUUGGUUUUACACCUGUGAGUAAUAGUACUCGGGUGGCACUAGUCAUGUGUAGGUACACAGGGAGCAUUUGUAUACAUUAUGCUCAUGUAAAGCAGUUACAAAGUGUAUGUCACUAAUUACUGUGAUAUUUGUUGAAUUGCUGUGAUGGUUUUACACAUGUGAAUAAUAGUGGUCAGGACACAGUACUUGCGGUGUAUAGUUGAAUUUAUACACUGCCAAGACAUGGGCUGUAUACGUACCAAAAGAAAUGUAUGUCAUUAUAUUGUUGUGAUUAUUACUGUUUGGAUUUUAUUAAACUGUAAUAAAAUUGUUUCUUGUAUCUAUUGA